CACGCCCUAAACGAUGAUAACUAAGUGUCGGGAAUUGUCCCGGUGCUGAAGCUAACGCGAUAAGUUAUCCACCUGAGGAGUACGGUCGCAAGAUUAAAACUUAAAGGAAUAGACGGGGACCCACACAAGCAGUGGAUCACGUGGUUUAAUUCGACAAUAAACGGGGAAUCUCACCCAGACUUGACAUCCCGAGAAUCUUGUAGAAAUAUGAGAGUGCCCGUAAGGGAGCUCGGUGACAGGUGC
rnacentral:rRNA from 1 species